CAGCGUGCUGGUGUAAAACUGUCAGAGGGCUCUUAGGGUAGCUAUUAAUUUAGAUGCUGUUAGUCAGAUAUAUGCUGUUUUGAAUGAGUCUUAGACAAAUCAUGAUCAGCUAAGUUGUUGAGAGAGGAGUAGGUGCAAAUUCUGUAAUCACGGGCUGAUUAGGCAGUGGCCUGUCUCUCAUCUCUCCGCAGCAGAGGCAGAAGGGAAGCAGCGGGAUACACACUUCUGCACCAUUUGAAAUUCUAAAGGGCUAAAACAAAACGUGCGGUUCUGAUAUCAGACCCAAUUAAGGGAGGUAUGAAUGAACCCUUAACUGCCAAUUAGCAGGAAUGCACGCAUCAAGUUUUCCAAAUGUGCAAACACAGAAGCUGCAGAUCAUCUGACCUGUGGUGCUCGUAGUCUGAAGGAAGAGACCUGAAAUCUGCUCGCAGACAUGACUGCAGCCGCUAGUGUCUGCAGUUGGUGCUUUUUACAUCUUCUGUAAAUUGAAAAUGGAGGUUACGCUCAGCUCAUCUGAGUUAAAGGUUAUGACAGCAUGACAAUGGAGCACGCUGACAACACAGUGAUCAUCAGCAUGGAGCUUCGAGCAUCACUGGAAGAACACUUUCCUAAAUUCAGGAUGUGUGGUGAACCACGGCAUGUAUGCAUUUAGUACAAAAUUAAUUCUCAAUAUGCUCUUUCACACAUCUCUUCCUUCUGGUCCCUUGUCUAGAAUACAUGAGAACUGUAUGACUUUUGUCCCAAAUAGUGUGGUCAGAGGUGAAAGAGGAAAAUAUAUCAGAUGAUGUCUGGAGUAAAAAGAACGCUCUUGUUUUCUCGAAUGUGCUGGUGCAUGGUGUUCAAUAACAGCAAUACUGGUCAAUAGAGAAGGUGACUGAGUUUAUCUGAGCCAGCGCCUGAAUGGGUAUUUAACAAAGUGGACCAUGAAUGUGUGUCUAAGGAGAGGACAAAAUACUGGUUAUUAAGCAGACAAAGCCAGAAGUAGGUUAGACAAGGCAAGAGAAAACACAGAAAUGAGAAAAGCAUAGUCUUGACAGGCAUGAAUGCUUAGCAAUACAAAAGUUGUGCUCACAGUAGCAACAUUACUAACCAAAAAUUUGCUGUGUCUGAAUAUUGGAAAGUCCACGAUGAUAUGGUCACAGAACAUUAUGAUAUUGAAUGCCAGCAGAGAGAUUCUUUUUGUAUAGUAGAGUGAUAUGUAUCCACUUACAAUUUUACCAACAUCUAAUAGCACUAUUUAUAUCCUAUCUGAAUUUGACAAGGCAGCUCGUGUGUACUCUGUGUAAUAUACUGUAACUACACUGUAUGAAGUGCAUAAGCACUUGCUUUCUUAAGUAUAUCUUGGUACUAUUCUUUUUAUCUUCCAGACAUGGCGUAUUUAUGCCUAGUCUUUUAUAUUUUCAGUUAAGCACAUGCUAAAACUGUCAGCCUCCUUUAUCUGACAGUAUUAAGAAGGCAGACGAAGAUUUUUAGCAGGCAUGUGAACAUUUUAAGCUGCUACUUUAUAUGUACUCAUUUUUUGAUUACGGGAUUUAUAUUUGAUCAAUAUUUUUUAAACUUCCUUCAAGAUCUGCUCAGCAGCCAUCUGUAAUCCAGCACAUGGAGAAAAAACCUUGAGUGAACCAGUUUCUUCAUUAAUUUUCAGUAUCAUUGAGUUAUGACACUGCCUUGGUUCAAUUAGUCAGGCUUCUAUCCUUGCUUCAAAAACUGUAAGAGCAUGUUCUCUCACAGAGCUUUAGAGUAAAAAAGAUUUAAAUGGAAGAAUAAGUUGAUAAAUUGAACAGAUUCUGGAUAUACUAAGAACAGAACAUUACUUAUAGGGGAAGAAAACAUUAGGUAGUAACUCGCAAUAGGUCCUUUAGCCCCCUAAGCAAGUAGCUUCAUGUAGCAAGGAAGAAAUAAGACUAAAUAAGAACA